UGGGGAAUAUUGGACAAUGGGGGGAACCCUGAUCCAGCCAUGCCGCGUGUGUGAAGAAGGCCUUUUGGUUGUAAAGCACUUUAAGCGGGGAGGAGGCUACUCUAGUUAAUACCUAGGGAUAGCGGACGUUACCCGCAGAAUAAGCACCGGCUAACUCUGUGCCAGCAGCCGCGGUAAUACAGAGGGUGCGGGCGUUAAUCGGAUUUACUGGGCGUAAAGCGUACGUAGGCGGCUUUUUAAGUCGGAUGUGAAAUCCCUGAGCGUAACUUAGGAAUUGCAUUCGAUACUGGGAAGCUAGAGUAUGGGAGAGGAUGGUAGAAUUCCAGGUGUAGCGGUGAAAUGCGUAGAGAUCUGGAGGAAUACCGAUGGCGAAGGCAGCCAUCUGGCCUAAUACUGACGCUGAGGUACGAAAGCAUGGGGAGCAAACA
rnacentral:rRNA from 1 species